rnacentral:hammerhead_ribozyme from 1 species
AUCUACCUGACGAGUCCCAAACAGGACGACACGCGCGUCCUAGAU